rnacentral:rRNA from 1 species
CGUAGGGUGCGAGCGUUGUCCGGAAUUAUUGGGCGUAAAGAGCUCGUAGGCGGUCUGUCGCGUCGGUCGUGAAAACCUGCAGCUUAACUGUGGGCUUGCGGUCGAUACGGGCAUGACUGGAGUUCGGCAGGGGGAGACUGGAAUUCCUGGUGUAGCGGUGAAAUGCGCAGAUAUCAGGAGGAACACCGGUGGCGAAGGCGGGUCUCUGGGCCGAUACUGACGCUGAGGAGCGAAAGCGUGGGGAGCGAACAGGAUUAGAUACCCUGGUAGUCCACGCCGUAAACGGUGGGCGCUAGGUGUGGGGGCCAUUCCACGGUCUCUGUGCCGCAGCUAACGCAUUAAGCGCCCCGCCUGGGGAGUACGGCCGCAAGGCUA